rnacentral:rRNA from 1 species
UACGUAGGGCGCAAGCGUUGUCCGGAAUUAUUGGGCGUAAAGCGCGCGCAGGCGGUGCGGUAAGUCUGUCGUGAAAUCUCCCGGCUCAACUGGGAGGGUGCGGUGGAGACUGCCGGACUGGAGGCACUCAGAGGCCGGUGGAAUUCCCGGUGUAGUGGUGAAAUGCGUAGAGAUCGGGAGGAACACCAGUGGCGAAGGCGGCCGGCUGGGGGUGACCUGACGCUGAGGCGCGAAAGCGUGGGGAGCGAACCGG